AUGGCAACUACAGUAGUGGUGGGUGUUUCUACCGGCGCCAUGAAACCCGUUCUUGAGAAGCUGGCCACUCUUAUGGGAAGCGAGUUCUCCAAGAUGAAGAACGUGCGGAAGGAUGUAAAGUUUCUCAGUGAUGAGCUUACGAGCAUGAAAGAUCUUCUUGAGAGACUUGCACUUGUGGACGACGAGCUAGAUCCACAAACCAAGAGAUGGAGAGACAAAGUAAGGGACAUGUCUUAUGACAUUGAGAACAUCAUUGAUGACUUCGGGCGAAAGAUUGUUGAGAAAAAUGAAAAGGGUGGGCUCGUCAAGAAGGCUGUUCGAUUCCUCAAAACUUUCAAUGCUCGUUACCAGAUUGAUGGGAUCAAGAAGCUAGUGCAUGAAACUAGUGACAGACGCAACAGGUAUCAGAUUGUUACUCCUCCACCAAACGAUGCGACUAUUGACCCACGAGUUGCCAUACUCCAACAAGAUGCAGCUAGCCUUGUCGGUCUGAAAGUGCCAAUCGAUGAGCUCGUCGGUUGGCUAAAUGACGAGGAGAUGCAUUUGAAGGUGGUAUCGAUUGUGGGAUUUGGAGGUCUGGGUAAAACAACACUUGCGAAUGACAUAUACCGUCAACCCGAUGGAGGAUUUGAAUGUCGCGCAUUUGUCCCGGUGACACAAAAGCAUAACAUCCCAAAACUUAUUCGUAGUUUACUAUCUGAACUUGGGAGUGAUGCAUGUUCUUAUGAUUGUGAAGUAAAUGUUCUUGUCAACAAACUCAAAGAAUAUCUAGAAAAAAAGAGGUACUUGAUUGUAAUUGAUGAUCUAUGGGAGAAAUUACCAUGGGAUAUUAUUAAAGGUGCUUUCCCAGAUAAUGGCGUUGGCAGCAGAGUAAUAACAACCACAAGAAUACAUGAUGUGGCUAAGGCAUGUUGCUCACAUCCUCGGGAUUAUAUUUUGGAAAUGAAGCCACUUAGCGAUGAAGACUCAAGAAGACUGUUCUUUAACAGGAUAUAUAACAAUGAACAAGCUUGCCCUCGCCAGUUUCGGGAUAUUUCUACUGAAAUUCUCAAAAAAUGUGAUGGUAUGCCACUUGCUAUUAUUACUAUAUCAGGCAUGCUAGCAUGUGAACGGUUUGACCAAGAGCAUUGGGAACAUAUACGAGAUUCUCUAGGUUCGGGAACAAAUUUCACGUUGGAAGGGAUGAGGAAAAUCUUAGAUCUCAGCUACAAGAACCUUCUUCCUCAUCUCAAGACAUGUUUGUUGUAUCUUGGUAUGUAUGCAGAGGACUUCGAAAUACCGAGGCAUCAUUUGGAACUUCAAUGGAUUGCCGAAGGCUUUAUUAGUAAAGAGAAUGGACAAGAUGUGGAGAAGAAUGCAAGAAGUUAUUUCAACGAGCUAGUCAACAGGAGUCUUAUUCAACCUAUAAGAUUUGACAACUGUGGAUUGGUCACACAUUGCAAAGUUCAUGAUAUGAUGCGUGAUCUUAUCUUGCAUAAAUGUGCAGAAGAGAAUUUUCUCACCAUAGUGGAUGACCCUCAAUCCAUCACAAAACUGGAUAACAAGGUCCGUCGACUGUCUGUCCACCUGGAUGAUGAUGAAAUUGAUGGAAUAAAGUUAUGGGGUAACAUUAGUCUGUCCCAUGUUCGGACUUUUAUGAUCUUUGGUGCGUAUAAGGGUAUGCCUCCUCUGCGAUUGUUCAGAUUCCUUCGAGUUCUACACAUUGAAAUUUAUGCAUAUGAUACUGUUGACCUCACUGGACUGUCUAACAUGUACCAGCUGAGAUAUUUAGGGGCUGGUGGUGGAUGCUCGGGGGUCGAGCUACCAACACAGAUCACAGGGCUGGGACACUUGGAAACACUUGAUGUACUACCCUUUUAUUUGCUUCAUCCAUUCGAUAUAUUUCAUCUACCAAGUCUGCUGUUCUUGAAUGUGGAUUGGCGUCUCGCUCGGACACCUUAUGGCAUCGGCAACAUGAAGUCCCUGCGAUAUGUAAAAGAAUUCGAUUUGAUGAAGAACUCACUAGAUAACAUCGAGAGUCUUGGAGAGCUACACAGUCUGAGAGUUCUAUCAGUAUACGGCUACCCGCCUGAUGCGACCAGCAUCAAGAGCCGCAUGGAUGCUCUGUGCUCUUCUUUGGGGAAAAACUGUAUCAGCUUGGAGUACCUGGGUUUGUAUAUCAAAGGCUGCAUGGAUGCCUUGAUGGACUUGUCACCUCCUCCUCGCCGCCUUGAGAGACUCUGGAUGGGUGAUAGGGUAGAAUAUUACUUUAGUGAGGGAUGUGAUUCUAUUGAUCAGCCGGCAGAACUGGGUGAGUGCAGCUCCGUUUUCAGGCUCCCUGGUUGGAUAUCAAAAGCGGAUGAAUGCUGCUUCUUUUCCAGGGUCCCUAAUUGGAUGGGGGAACUAAGUAACCUCAAAGAAUUGGAAAUCAAUGUCCGCAAGCCUGAUGUUGGCAUCCUGGCCGGAUUGCCUGCCCUCACUUUUCUCAGAAUAUACAUCAUCGAAUUUUUAAGGGACUGGUUUUUCAUCCACGCGAGAGAGUUCCCUGUUCUAAAACAUUUAGAACUCCGGUUGAGCAGCCCAUCGUACCUGGCCUUCCAGGCUGGUGCAAUGCCCAAGCUCCAGUGGCUCGGGCUGCAGUUCCGUGUUCGAGGGUGGAACCAGAACGUGCCUGGACCAGCUGGCCUCCACCACUUGUCAGCGCUUGAAGAUUUCUUCGCAAUAAUUCUGACCGAAGGUGCUACGGAGUAUGAGAAGACAUGUGCCGAGUCUGCCUUGAAGACUUCUAUCAAGUUGCGUCCCAACCAUCCUCGCCUUCACAUCCAAAGUUCGUGCGAUGAUGAUUUUAGGUUGGUGUCUUUCCCGUCUGAUGAGUCUGGUGGCGUGGCGGCGCCUCGGAACCGGGGUGCCUGA
rnacentral:rRNA from 1 species